rnacentral:pre_miRNA from 9 species
CCCCGCGGGCGUAAAAGUUAACUCAAAUUUGUACGGAGUUGGAACGUUUGCUUACGUUUGCCGCUAGGGGUGCUGUUCCAACUGCAUACAAAUCCGAGUUAACUUUUACGCUAUCGA